UGCCCCCCAAGUCAUUGCGUUCCUGCCCUGAACACAUCUCUUAUGUAAUCAAGGCAAAGUUCUUGAAUGCUUCAGCAAACUCCCUUGCUUUCCUUGGCAAUGGCUUGAUGGAACCUUGCCCUGUGCCAUCUAGAUCUUAAACAGAAGUUACUGGAAAGAGACCUCUCUUCCCCUGGAUGGCAUCGUGUGAAGACAUGUGACUUGCAGUCACUGUGGACAUUUGUGACCACAAAGACCCAUGAAACUGGAUGAUGAAGCCAAAUCUAAUACCACAGAAGGCAGAGCAAGGAGAGGGGGAGAGGCUGGCCUUGGUGACAUUGUUUGAAUCUAGUCUUCUCUGAAUCAGUCCCACCUUAGCCCUUCUCAAUCAUGAUUAUGGCAUCCAGCUGCAUCCAUGUCACUGCAAAGGAUAUGAUUUCAUCGGAAAGAAAGUAUUUGAAAGAGCUUUGUUCAGGUCAUGCUAACUAUCAUGUCAUGAGGACACUCACGCAGCCUAUGGAGAGGUCCACAUGGUGAGGAACUGAGACCUCUGGCCAACAGCUUUGUAAGUCCAUCAUCUCAAAUCUCCAACCCCAAUCUAGCCUUCAGAUGACUGUAGCCCAACCAACAUCGUGACUGCAAUCUCAUGAGAGACCACUCAUUGCAAACCUGAUCCUGGAUUCCUGACCCUCAGAUACUAUGAGAUAAUAAAUGUUUUUAGCUGCUAAGUUUGGGGGUAAUUUGUUAUGCAGCAAUAGAUAAUUAAUAUGGGAACUGCUUAAUGUUGUUGUAAUGGA
rnacentral:lncRNA from 1 species